UUCACAGAGGCAGAAAGCUCUGGGAGAUCUUAAUGUGGCCACUGUGAAUUGAUCGUUUCUUCUUUUGUUAAGCAUCAGAGGAUGGAAGCCACCAGAAGAAGUCUAUCUCUAUCUCCAGUCCUGAUCUCCUUCUACUCCCAUGCUUUAAUGCAUUGUUUAAAAACGACUGUUGCAGAUUCUUCUGAUUUUUUGGCAAUGUUGUGUUCAAAAUCUUGUCUGAUGUAAUGGCCCUUUAGGUGCAGUUGCUGCUGAGUUUCUUGGAUCGGAACCUUGUUUUGGUUGAUCUCUGGUUCUGUGUCCGUGUCUUCCUGGAGUUUUUGGGGUAGUUCAAAGAUUUGGUGGAAAGAUUCAAUUUUGGAGUGGGUUUAGAUUUAUCUUCCGUGUUACGUUUCCUGAUGCUUGACUAAGGGCCCGUCUUUGUUCUUGUUGGGGUACUUGCUUCAUGAUGAAAUGGAUCAGAUCCUAGGCGUCGCAUCAAGUUCUUUGUGAAAUUGGUUUUCUUUGAUUCAGCCUUCCAAAGAUUUGAACCUUGUAGGGCAUUUCAUGUCAUAUUAUAGGUUUUUGCUCCUAAACUUGUAGGAUGGCUAAGAAAGGUGGCAAAUCCUCUGGGGAUAUAGAAGAAGGGCCGCACCACUCUCACUCGAAUGACAGUGACGAAGAUAGCCUCUGUUUCUCAGACGCAGAAGAGCAUUCUUGGCAUUCGCCGUAUGGCUCCAACUGUGGCAGUUCCACUCACAAUGGCUGCCGGAUCUCUGGCGCAUCCUGCCGUGAGAUCAAGGGAUUUCAAGAGCCUUGUAGAAAAUCCUGUGUCUCACAGUCUUCGCUUGAUGAUGAUCUGGAGACUGGCACUACGAUGGUGAAGGUAAAUACUGAUAAGGGAGAGAGAGAUUGCAGGAUUUGUCAUCUCAGCUUGGAGAAGGCAGCUCCAGAGUCGGGAGUCCCGAUUGUGUUAGGCUGUUCCUGCAAGGGUGAUUUAGCCGCUGCCCACAAGCAGUGCGCUGAGACAUGGUUUAAAAUCAAAGGAAACAAGUAAGCUUGCAAUUACUCUUGUCCUACUCUUUCUCCAAUCUUUUGUUGCUUCAUCGGUCCUGAGGUCCUUUAGAAUAUGGAUGAUCCUGGAUUGAUUGAAUUAUGUAUGAUGCCAUAUUUGUUAAACAUCGACAUGAAGUCUGCAUUUGAUGUGUAUGUAGAUCAUGCCAAUAGAGAUAUGAUUUCUGUGAAGAUAUGAUAUGAUUUCUGUGAAGAUUCUAUGAUUUCUGUGAAGAUAUGAUAUGAUUUCUGUGAAGAUAUGAUAUGGUUUCUGUGUAUGUAGAUAUGAUAUGAUUUCUGUGAAGAUACGAUAUGAUUUCUGAAAUGCACAAAACUUAAGUCAUGCAGAUAUGAUUUCUGUGAAGAUUCUAGAGAGGAAAACCAUGCAUCUGCAUGCACAGAGCUAGUUUGUCUCUCAAAUCAUGUCAUUUUUUAUAUUGGCUUCAGAAAGACGUACAAAACUAAGUAGACGAUGACAAAAUGACAAUUUCAGGAAGCAAUGGAAAAGUUGAGUAAUCACUUGACCUACUUUGUGGAUAAAAUGCAACGCAUAAUGUGCCAAUGUAGUAUAAAAAACUAGUACAUGAUAAUUAUAAAAUGAGGAAAUGUAAUAUGAUCAACCUUUGUUCAUGUCAGUAGUGGCAGAGUUUAAACAUCAGGAAUCCAUAAAUUGAACUUUCUACACCAUUGAGUUAUGUCAGAUGCAAAUAACACUAGUUCAAAGUAUGAACCAUUACCAGAUUGGAGAUAAAAGAGAGUGCAAUCGAUGAACGAAAGGACAAAUAGAUGAUGCGGGCAAACCAAGCACGGGGACUGCAUGUCCGAAACACAGUGCAGCCUACCACCUUUCAUGCAAAUAUAUAAAAACAGUUCUCCUGUUGUAUAUACUUAACGAUGAUUUUUCUGUCUGUUUGUACAUAAAUAUCAAAAUGUCAAACUUUGCUGUUAUAUAACUUAAAUUUAAAGAAGUAGGUCAGAAAUUUAUAGAGCAUAAUUUAAAGAAGUAUUCAGGAAAACGUUAUUUGCACUGAUUAGACUGGUCAGGUGAUCUAUUUUUUCUGCUAUUUCCUUACCCUCUUGUACAGUUUGUUAUUUCUAGUGGAUAUUAUCAGACUGAUUCCCUUUUUGAAGGAUGCCCUACAUGAAUGGGAAAGAAAAGGAAUCUGUUGAAUGGUAGAACUAUAGGAGGCACAGCAAUUUUUUUCAGAUCUUUUGAAGGAUGUCCUACAUGAAUGGGAAAGAAAAGGAAUCAUGGAUCUGACUGUUUCUCAUGUGCCUCGUGUUUUUUCCUUCGCAGCACCAUGUAAGAAAGUGCAAACAUGAGUGUGCAAACAUAAAAUUGGUGUCAACACCUUAAAACAACCAGUCAGUUUCUAGUUUGCAUUAGGUUCUGCCAUAAUGAAAGAGGCCUCCUUCAUCACUCAGCAUUUCUAUGACGUGGUGGUUCAGUAUUUCUAUCAUGACAUGGACAAUCUUCAGUUAUAUCCUCUCAGUAUACUGUGCCACUCAAAUUUUUUGAUGAACUAAGUUUGCUUUCUGAAUAUUUUUUGUUUGUGUUUAUCAUUCUAGGAUCUGCGAGAUUUGUGGCUCAACUGCACACAAUGUGGUUGGCGUGAGCGAGACUGAACCCAUAGAGCAGUGGGACGAAUCUAACAAUUCUACAGCUCCACCUGCUGCUCCGCCACCACCUUCAGAAAGUCGGAGCUUUUGGCAAGGGCAUCGUUUUCUUAAAUUCCUGCUCGCGUGCUUGGUGCUUGCAUUUGUUGUCUCCUGGCUCUUCCACUUCAAUGUUCCUGGCUGAAUACGAACUGGCAUAUGGCGAAAAAUGAGGUUAAAACCGUCGUCUCUCUUGUCACGGGUGUUUUCGAGUUUGUUUUGAGUGAAGGAAAUAUUCAAGCGAAAAACCGCAAUGACUAAGCCCUCCGGAAAGUGUUAUAUAUCUAUCAUCUGUGUGAUAUGGCAUGAAAACAAAGCUAAAUUUUGCAACCUUGUUGGAUGCAUUGGCCUUUGUUGAGUCUGCUACGAGUGUUCAAUUGGCAUAACUUCUCUUUUUUUAAUCAUUCUACUAUUGUUUGAAGCCACAUUUCUUAGCUGAAUGUUGAAUGCUUGUGAUGAAGCAUGAUGUAUUCUAUAAUCAACCACUUACUGCAGAAAACCACGGAUACUGUUCUAUGUCAGAGAACCUUCAUGGGUGAAGAUUGUAUAGACCAUACGUUUGUUUGUUGCCUGUAAGAUGUACAUAUCAAAUACAUGCACAGAUGGCAGUACAUGAACUAACUAUUGGACGCACUAGAUGGAAGGUGACACGCCGGGGCCCAUCCACGUGGUGGGGCCAGCUGACCUAUCGAAACGUGUUAGGUUGGGAUUGGCCCACCCGCGAAUAGAGCCCACGAUCACAACGGGCCCAUCAUGGGCGGUGGGCAGCGUCGGGUUUCAUCGUAGUUGACUCGAGUGGGUCAGAUUCGAAUAGGCCUCUCUGAACCCGAGUUGGAUACGGGACGGGCCCACCCGCGAAUGGAGCCCACGACCACAACGAACCCAUCAUGUGACUCGAGUGGGUCAGAUUCGAAUAGGACUCGCUGAACCCGAGUUGGAUACGGGACGGGGGAUAAGGUAACCGAGCGAUCUAUUGGGUUCGAUAAAGGAUGAGAUAAAAUUUAGUAAUAUCUUUUCGAUUAAUAUUUAGAAUAUCUUUUCUAUAGGUAUCCAUCACAUGAUAAAUCAAAAGACUCAAAUAAGAAUAAAUACCUCAAAAAAUUGAGGCGUUUUAUUACAUGACUCAAACUCAAAUCAUUAAUUUAGGUAUUUAUUUUUGAAUGAUUUCUCUAGAAAAUAUUUAUAUUUAGGAUAUUUUCCAAUCAUUAUUCUCAUUUUAUUUUAUUUUAUUUUCUCAAAUAGUACAUCUAAUUUUAAAAUAUUUAAAUUUUUAUUUAUUAUAAUAUUUUAGUAUAUUAUAAUAUUUUUGUCUGUUAGUGUUUUUGUCAACACAAUAAAAAUAUUGUAAGACUUACUUGAAAAUAUUAUAAAUAAUUUAAAUCAAUUUUUAUUCUGAAUUAAAUUAAUUACAAAUUAAAAAUAUAAUAUGACAUUGAUCUAUGUACAAUGAUAAUAUGAUUAAAUUUAUAGUAAUUUUAAUAAAGUUUACAGUAUUUUUAAUAUCAUAAACGAAUCAAAUGAGAACAUUAUAACAGUUGAAAAUUAAUAAAAAAUGAUAAAUUUUUUUUAAAAAUAUUUUAGAUAUUUUAAGUUAGAAAUAUUUAAAAAAAACAAAAAAAAACUUUUAAAAAAAUUAAAAACAAAUUAUUUUUUAAGAAAAUCGUUCUUUAUUUUUCUACUAUAUUCAUCGAGUAGAGAUACGAAAAUUUAAAUGGAACAGAUGAUUGCCAUCACUCGCAAAAAUCUCAGCAGCUGCUAUGGAGACAGAGAGAGAGAGAGAGAGAGAGAGAGAGAGAUGCGUGGGAAUAGGGCUGAUUUGAUGUUGAAUGCUGUGAGUGGAUGAUUACGUUUCUCUCUCUACGCCAGCUUUUCAACCUGGCCACAGUAUCGUACAGUGAUCAGUGGACCAGGCGGCCUCGGAAUUCGCGAAUCGACGGAAAACUCGGGCGAUCCACCCUCCUCUCCUCCCUCCCCCCGCUCCCUCCCUCCCUCCGCUCCCGCAAGCAAGCAAAAGAUAUCCCUGCGCGCUUUAACUCCUGCGCUCNNNNNNNNNNNNNNNNNNNNGAGAGAGAGAGAGAGAGAGAGAGAGAGAGAGAGCUAAAGAUGAGGCCAAAAGAGAGAAAAGAUUGCUGUAGAAAACCAAAACCAGUGGCUGCGGUACUACUCGUCUCUCUAUCUCUCUCUCUCUCUCUCUCUCCUUCCCCUGUUCGGAUGACUGACAGUGAAGGGAACUGCAGAGAACGACGUCAGCCCCACCUCCGUAACAUGCGCCUUUCCCUGCCCACCUACCCCGUUUCUCCAUCAAGAACCAAACCUGGGGGGGGGUAAUAACAGCGAUUCCUCAGCGAAGCCAUUACGACCCAUCAUUUCGUAACUCGACACGUCGUCCAGCGGACGAGCUUGAUCGACGCGAAUAACCUCCUGUUAUGGACGACAGCAGCAGCUUGGCCACCAUCAUGAGUUCUCGCCACAGCUACCUACAGUGGUGUGACAUCCGCCUAACACCCUCCUCCUCCUCCUCCUCCUCUCCCUCUACAACAGGUUGCGUGCGUAUGUUACCCCGUUCCAUCCACGCCGUUGCUGCAGGCCCACCUGACGACGCUAGUGCUCGCCGUAGAGGUCGGCCGGCUGGGCCCCGGGACAGCCGGUGGUGGAUACAACGUCUCGUUCUGGAUCGGGGUCCGCCGGAUACAGCCCACCUGACCCCACCAACAUCCCCACCCCCCCCCUCCAACAUUUCCAAGUACGUCGACACUCAGCUGCUGCAGCUAUUCACCUUCCGAGCGAGCAAGGACGAACCAACGGUGUUCCGAGAGGCCUGGCGAGGUCCCACGUGCGCCCACCACGGACCCUAAUUAAUUGACCUCUCUGUCUUUGUCUCUCUGUCUCUCUCUCUCUCUCUCCUGUACUCUCGGUGCAAUCCAAUCGCCGUGUUCAAAGAGGCGUAUCUGUUUGUUGGUAUUCCCUGUUGUCAUAUACGCUGCUACUGUUCUGUGAGAGCAAAUCGAAACGGGGGAGGGGGAAGAGUGAAGGGAGUCGGCAUCAUGAUAUAUAUAACGUGUAGUUGGACGGGGUAAACAUGAACUCCAGUUCUCAUCAUAUCACAGCCGUGUUCCCUCUUUCUCCUUUCGCUUUCACUGCUCCACUGUUCACUCUCUUUUCCUUCUUUAUCGCUUGCUCUGUGGAAAGCGAGAGAAGCAGCGAAAAGUUGCGAGCAUCUGCCCCCUCACUCUCUCCAGGGUUGGGCUACGAGAAGCGUAGUAGCGGCAGCAGUAGUAGUAGUAGACAGAGGAGUUGACGCGAGAAAGGAAAAAAAAAAAAAGAGAGAUGGCUUCGUCGGCUGCGGAUCGAUUCGUGGGAGGCGGCGGAGGAGGUGGGGAUGAACCGAUGCUACUGCACCACCCCCAGAUGUACGACCACGUCCCACAGCACAGCAGGAGGGAGAAGCUGCGGUUCCCGCUGGAAGGGUCGUCGCCGCCGUCGGCCUCCUUCCUGCUUCUCCACGAUGCCGACGCUGCUCCCUCGCUCUACCCCGCCAAUUCCCUGACGGCCUUCCUCCCCUCCUCUUCCUCCUCCUCGUCCUACUACUCUCACAACCCCACCCUUAACUACGGUGACGCCCAAUUCGACGGCCACGGCGCGCUGCCGAUCCCCGCGCAGCACCAGAUCCCCAUCCAAGGCUUCUCCCUCUCCCUCACCUCCUCCUCCUCCCCUCGCCCCCCGGCUUCGCGGCACCACCUCGCGAGCCGGCCGGCCCCCCUGGGGCCGUUCACAGGCUACGCCGCCGUCCUCAACCGCUCCAGGUUCCUGGAACCGGCGAGGAAGCUUCUCGAGGAGGUGUGCCGUGCGGGACACCAGGCCGCGGCGGGAAGCGGCGGCGGCAGCCGGGAGAUGCUCCUAGACGCGGAUCCGCCCAGGGAGUCGCUGAUGGAUCACGGCGUCGACGUGGUGGCCGGCCAUGGAACGAAGGAGGACCGCGCGGUCGCCGGCACGGAGCAGCAGUGGAAGAAGACCAGGCUCAUCUCCAUGCUUGACGAGGUGAGCAGCUUGAAUUAUUUCUUCUGUGUACUUCUGCUUUGAGAUGACUUCGUUAGGCUUCUUGUUGUGUUACGUCUUCCUUUUUGGAUCCUCUUGCUUGUGCAAGUCUCCCAAGCAGUCUACUUUAUUUGAAGGGUCUUGUGUUCCUUCAUGUCAAAAGGUUUUCGAUGCUACUGGUGAGAUCUCGUUACUGUGUGAAGCCAUGGAUUUACUGCUCCUGAAUCUGCUACUGCAGGGUUUGAUUCAAUGUAUUUGAGAUGAUAGGGUUUAAUCUUUCGUCACUUAGGAAUAAUUGAACAUUUACUUCUACAGACUGAUCCAUUUAGAUUGAAUCAACUGCUUCUUUACUGCAUAUCCUCAUCUUCCUCCUCAGACUUGUUGUCGGUGGAAGACAAGAUGAAGUGGUUGCCUUUGUUUAGGAUCGACCCCGUUUAGCCUACGAUCUGGCAGAAUAGAGGCACUUGGUUUGAUUUGCAAGUCAUAGUAGAAGGUUCACAAGUAUUGUUUGCUUAUUUAUUGUGCUUCACUUAAUACUUGAUGAUGUGAGACUGUAGAGAAAGGAUCAGACUGUGAGGAAAGCUAAGCCAUUUUAUCACUUGUGGUCAACUCCUGUGAUAGUUGAUGAGGGUUAUCUGCACUAAGCUCAUGGUUGAUUGCACCUAGCUGAUGCAUCAAGUUCAUGCCGACAUGCCGGAAAUUAUGUUUUGUUGAUACAUCAGAUCUGUGGAUUCUUUGUUUUGUGGUAGCUGUUAAUUGCAGAAGUCAUAAACCCAGUGUUGUAAGCUGGAACGAAUUCAAGAACUGUACACAUUUAUAAGGCCAUCUCACUCAAAAAAAUGUUUGUAGUUUAGCCUAAUGGAAGUGAAUUUUUUUUAUUGAAGCAAUCGCAACGAAGUUGUUAAACUCGAGAUAGUGUUCGGUAACUUGGAUUGCAGUUUACUGCUAAUGAUGUUUAAGGAUAAAGCUCUAAUCUGGAAGAAUGUGGCCUAUUCUAAAUGCUAAGAUGAUUGCUGUCUUUAAGUUUCUCAAUAGAAGGAAGGUGGAGAUUACAUCAAUUAAUAGGUUGACUUUUUGGAAAACACGAGGCAAACUGCUGUAUCUUCACAUCUUUGUAUUCUCUAGGAUUCUUUAUACGAGUUAAAGUUGCUUUUAUCGAGUUUUCGAUGAUAUUUCAUUUGACUUGUUUUCGUAGUUAAUGCGCCUUUGGUUAUGUUACAAAGAUUGAUUUGUUGUAAGUAGUAAGUUUUUUUUCUUUAUGCUUUUCAUCUCCUUUCUUACUGUUACAUAAACCAUCGCCACCUCGAUGAUCGUUAUGAACAUUAUUCAAAUUUGUAGCUUCUUAUCGAAUCCAUGUUGGGUAUUCGGUGCAUUUUAAGUAAUAGAAAGCACGGAGGAAUUAGGAAUAACCGUAUAAAUUGUUGUUUGAUCUAUGAAAAGCACCAUGUAUGUCAACAUAAUAACCGCAAGUAACUUUGCAGCUUUUCGAGUAUGUUAUGUUUUCAUCUUUUGAUGUGAGUUGACUGCAUUCCAAUGGUAACCUUUUAGGUUUACAGAAGAUACAAACAAUGCUACCAGCAGGUUCAAGCUGUGAUUGCUUCGUUCGAGUCGGUCGCUGGAUUGAGUACUGCUUCUCCAUACGCAUCGAUGGCUCUCAAGGCCAUGUCCAAACACUUCAAGUGCCUUAAGAAUAUCAUAUCUGGCCAACUUCGGCAGACGAGCAAUAAAGGUCAUGGAGACGAAGGUGUCAGCAGAGAAGAUAUCUCAAGCUUUGGGCUCCUAAACAGUAGUAAUUAUCUACAAAAAACAACCAACAGCCCUGCUACCUUUGCACAACCGCACGUUUGGCGGCCGCAGAGAGGGCUUCCUGAGCGCGCCGUAUCUGUGCUUCGAGCAUGGCUUUUUGAACAUUUUUUGCAUCCGUGAGUAGAUCGAACUUUAUUUCCAUUAAAGAUGCAUAUAACUUUAUGGUGAUGAAUGCUUGUCUGCUUAUCAUGUUGAAGUUUAUAGUGCCUGAUGCAAUUCCUUACAACCUUCUGUGUUUUAGAAACGAUAAAUUCUUUACGACUGAGCUCAGAGGACUUGCCAUAGUUACGUAUAAAGAGGUUCCAUACAGAACCGGAAAAGAAGAGCAUGUAGUUUUGCUAAUUUUGAUAGCUUUCUAGCUCUCAUUAAUAGAACUAAGAUCUGGUAUUUUGUUAUGACAUGCUUAACAUGAAUUUGCUCUUUUUUUCUUUGGUAUUUCUUUUCUCUUUUAAUUACAUGUUGUUAAGAUGCCUGAAAAUUUUAUAUUUUCCUACCAAUCAAGUUGGUAUUUUUUAUAACAAAAAAAAAACAAGAUGUUGGCCUGCAUAAAGACACUCGACACUUUUAACUUAGCUGGCUUUUGUCAUCACCAUGGCCGAUCAUGUUUUCAUCCGAAAGAUGAAAAGGUCAGCCGCUAGUCAAUGAUAUGCAAUAAUUUGAUAGUAUUUGCAAUAAUUUAACAGCGGUACAAUCCUUGUUGCUUACAACUUUUUGGAUUAUUGGAGACAUCUAUAUAUGAUCAUUUUCUUAUCGUCUUCCAGGUAUCCUACCGAUGUCGACAAGCAGAAUUUGGCUAAACAAACUGGUCUAACAAGAAAUCAGGUAAAAGCAUGGUGUAAUUUGUAUCUAUACAUGCUCAGUAUUAUGCGAAGCGAAUUCUGAAUCCUCCAAAUUAAAGGAACGUAUAAAUGCAUUGAGUUAAUCUCUCUUGCUCUCAUCAACACUCCACUAUUUUUGUUUUGAGCAGGUCUCUAAUUGGUUUAUCAAUGCAAGAGUAAGACUCUGGAAGCCGAUGGUCGAGGAAGUACAUUCCCUAGAGCUGCGUCAGAAAAACAAAACAUCGGCGAGCGGCGGCAGCAACUGUGCCACCACCGACGAACAACCUCAGCCGCCGCCCUCGUCGCGGUCUAAUCCGUUGAGUUCUCCACAAUUCCAGGUAGCGAGCAUAUGCCGCAAUCAGAAUUCGGUGACCGAAGGCAUUCACGAGGAGCUGACCUCCAUGCGCAACCACAUCCAAGGAGGGCCUGUCAACUUUGUGUAUGACAUGUCGAACCACCAGCAUGUUGCAGGUGGAGCCAGUGUGGUGGCCGCCGGAGGAAAUGGAAAUGGAAAUGGAAAUGGUGUCUCCCUCACGCUCGGCCUCCAUCAAGACAGCGGGGUGUGCUUCUCUGAACCGCUUCCGCUCAACGUGGCCCGUCGAUUCGGCCUAGAAGAGUGCAACGACACCUACUUGGUGAGUAGCUUCGGAGCGCAAGAGAGGCAAUUCGGGAAGGACGUCAUCGGCGGUCGUCUGCUUCACUCAUGAUUCGGUUGGGUGAAAGCUGUAGCAGUCCCAAGUUUGUAAGAUGGAGCUAUGACUGCUGUUGUAUACCAACAACAGGCUGUGCCAUUGGAGGCUUUUUGGCAUUGUUAUACCUUUCAAUGCAUGUGGUUCUUCGCUUUUUCUUAUUCUCUAUAUGGAAGCACUUCCUUUUAGCAUUGAACAUGUUGUCGACGGUGCAGAAAAGGAGACUCGAUCCAAGUCUUCUCAUCGCUUUCAGUCAUCAUCAUGGCCAUAGUAUGCAUUGCUAUAUUUGUCCCAGUCCAGUUCACUUUGGAGGAAAUCGAGGCCAUCUGAACUGAGAUAUCAGCCUUGGGAUUCGAUGACGACUUCCACUUCGUGAACGUCGUGACAUGCAACAAAUGAUACGACGCAAACAGUGGCUGGUGUAGACAGCUCGGGAGGCAACUCUUGCAUCCUUCGGGGGUUGAAGAGCUGUUGCCAGCCAAGAACAUGGUUGAAAGACGGAUCGCGAUCGAUGACCCGAGAUGUCAAGGAUCUGCAGAACAAGUACCGAGAAUGUGUUCGACGAAAUCUCUUACCGACGCACAGGUUGGAAUUAGUUCGAGAUAUAAUUGAUAUAGAAUAUUUGCCAUAUUAGAAAUGGUAUCAGAUGGCUGAUCAUGUGCAAGAGAUGGCUAACAGCGGCUUCUGCACGCUGCUUGGGGGUAACUCUUGCGUCCUCGGGGUUGAGAGCCGACGCGGGUCCAAACCCUGCCUCGGAUGGAUCAUAGGAGCAAAGAAGACGCCCUGCGAAAGGGAGAACCGGAAGGUUUCGGUGGGGAAGAACGAGUCCUCCCAUGGCACACAUCGUGAUCUGAGCCGCCCUGUUGGGAGCUCUCGUGGAGUAGCGAGAAUAGUGGUCUAUAAAUCAGGGGACUGUUCACCUGCGACGCUUGCGUUGGAAAUGACAGGUACUGCUGAUACGUCGGAAUAAUUGCUUUUCCUCGGAAAUGACAUUCGCAUUACAGCAGACUUCAUGUGGGUUGAGGUGGUGCGUGCUGAUGCGACUCCGACUGCUUUUUCCACACAACACUUGUCGCCUUCCCGCUGCCGAUUUCCAUCUCUUUCUUUUCUCUUCGGCAAAAGCAGCUGCAGCGGCAGUGGUGUUGGUGACGGAAGAAGACGAAGCAGCAGCGAUAAGACCUGACUAUAUUUUCAGGGGUGUGUGUGUGUAUAUAUAUAUAUAUAUAUAUAUAUAUAUAUAUAUGAAGGCACGUGUGGGUCCUACGCGUCGGAUGUGUACGAGAGGAGCGCCGUACAAACCAACAGAACCAUAGUGCGGUGGUGUGAGUCAAACUGUGGACGGGUCUAUUCCAAUCGACAAUAACAAGUCGUGACGUCCCCACACUCUGUUACACUGCUUCUGAUACGUGCAUAUAUAUGGAUCUUAACUACAGAACUUAUGUAAUUAUAAUAUUUAUAGAUCAUAUUUGGAUAAGUGUAUAAGCCCAAGAAGGAAAUCCACUUAUAUAUUAGUUUACAUUUGUCUUAUAAACUCAAGUUAAUUAUUAUUAUCUAGGAGUAAAUAGAAAAAAUAAUAAUAAUUUAGAAGCAUAUACAAUACAUACAAGGUUUUGAAAGGACAUUAAUUAAACUAUUAGCAUCCUAUGAUCAAUUGAGGAAAAUAUAAUGAUACCUAAGAUAAUAUAAAAAAAAAAAAGAGAAACAAACUUCCCCAACAAAAUGGCACGAGUGUGUAUUGAUUAGUUACCAUGUUAAGAAGGCAUGGCAAAAGGCAAGCAUAUUAUAGCAUGAGCCACAUAUAUGAUUAAUUUUAAUGGAAAGCCAAGUGUGUUGCUUGAUAACAGAGCAGAAGGAGACCUAAUGACCCACAAUGCUGAUUUUAGUAAGACCAUUACUAUGCCAAUAUCCAAUUACAGGGAAAUGGGAACUGUUUGCUAAACAGUUUAUCCAUUAGUAAUGCAUGCACACCACAUGAAGAAGAAUGGAGAAACAUGUUGCCACCACAACUAUAAAUGUUUAUGGUUACCAAGAGCCAGCAUGGAGAGAGAGAGAGAGAGAGAGAGAGAGAGAGAGAGAGCUAUCUAUCAGCCAGCCAAUUGAGCAGCAGACAGACAUGGUUCAAGAAGCAUCAUCAGCCAACUCCUUCUCAUAAAUGGCAGACACAUGUAGCUACUAAAAGCAAAGAUAGAAGAUGACUACCCGAGUUGUAUCUCAGCAUCUCAUUCUUGGUUGCAUAUACAUGUGGCCGAAUAUAUGCUUGUUUGAGUAUUUCUCAGAUUCCAGCCUUCUACUUCACGAUCAUGCAGUGACAGAGCAUCCCUUGAUGGGUAAUGGUUACCCAUUUGCAAGUCUGCUUUAGAGCAAAACGACUGCACAACUUUGAGAAAAGAUAUUGUUUGAAGCUUAGUCAGAUACAGCUGCUAAUUUUACUUUAGACACAAAGCAAUACCACUCAUCUGGCUCCCCAAGAAAUUAUGGGAUAAGCGACUCACACUUUGCAAUCUCUCUCUCUCUCUCUCUCUCUCUCUCUCUCUCUCUCUCUCUCUCUCUCUCAUUACUACAUAAGAAAUGGUUUUCACAUCGGGAAAUUGCCUCUUAAGCGUAUAUGUUCCAGGGUUCGGCGAAGCCCAUACUUGUUAACAGCUGCAUUAGCAGCUCUGAAACCUUCACCAUAGGCAGGUGAUGUGUCUUGAGCAAUUUGAUGCAUGAAGAACUCACCGAGUUUCUUAUCGGUGGCAGACUUUCCUGCUUUCUUAGAUGAUGGAAUUGAAGAGGAUGAUGACGACGAAGAGGAUGGCAUACUAGUUGACCCUGGCAAAACCUCAGAUUCAAGCCACAUAUGGGCAAGAACCUGACAGAUGCCUUCUUCCACAUCAGGGCUUAAGUUCUGAUAGCCUAAUAAGGAAAAAAAAUCCAAGCAAAAUAACUAUCCCACUGAGACGAAACAAAUGGAAUAUAAGAAUUAAAUGAUUUCAUAAGUUCAAUUACAUUAUGGCAAUAUAAUUAUUUGCAAUUUAGAAAAAUAUACCUCUGAGACGUAACCAACCAUGCAUUAAUUCAUGAGCAAGAAUGGAACCAGUUAAUAGCCUGCACUUAGAAGAACAAAGAAACAUCAGGGCGUUUGACCUUUUUUGCUAAAUUAAAUGUGUUACUAACUUAGGACUUAUACAAGAUGGAACAAUGGUUAUCUUCUAUAGAAAAAAGAAGUUUAUAUUAUGAGUUUAUGACUCAUAAUAGAUGAGCAAACAGCAGGGGUAAAGCUAUGCUCAGGCCCUCAUUGCAGGAGCUUUGUUCAUUAGUAGACAGACAGAAAACUCCAAUCUUUUCUAUUUACCAAACAUUGCAAGGUAAAAAUGAACAUGAUUCCUGACCAUGAACCUAAUAUUAUGCUUUGUUGAUUACUAUACCAAGGAGUUAACAGAUCCCAGUUGCUUAUUACUACAGAAAAUUAUAAUUAUUAGAAACAUUACUAUUAUGUUUUGUUGAUUGAAUAUUAAUGAAAGAAUGCAAGGUGUUGAAAACAACUUCAUGAUUUGUUGAAUAACAAUUCAUCUUUGGCAAAUAUUAUUUGUUUAAUUAACAAAAUACUGACUUAAUUUCACUUUACUAUCCUAAUCAUUUUGCACAAAAUCCUACUCCGAUUUACACGAGAAGCACAAGCUCGCUCCUCUGUUGCAUAACACUCAAAAUAGAAAAUAGAAAAAAUAUAUUUUAGUAUUAAAAAAGACAGCUAACUUUAGCAUCGUAUGAGGAUGUGACUAACCUGGGAAGGCCAUACAAUACGAGAAUUGCAGUGACUUCGCAUUGACGGGUCAACUUUUGUGGGAAAGUCCGCAUGUCCAGAAUUCUGUUUCCCCCAAUUUUUGGCCUUCUAAGUAUCUGUAGAUUGGAAACGACACAGCUUAGACGUCAGCACAAACUAAAUCAAAAUGGAAGGAGAUCACUUACACUGCUAACAGUUUGUUCCUCAGAGAGACAUAAGCCUCUGGUUUCAGGCAUGUGGUGAUGACCCUAGUAGGAAAACAUAUUCAAAAUCCAGAACUACCUCCAGGAUAAGCAUCUCGAAACUCAAAACAAUCAAGAAAGCUUACAUCUUUCUCCCCUUCCAUGGCUUCAUUAAGCGCCUGCCUUUCUACCAAAAGCAUGGGAAUUUGUUGAUUUAUUUUCAUGUUCAUUCCUUCAUAAUAAUCUCUAAUUGAGUGGUAUAGAGACUGACAGUCAACAAUAUCCAUGAUAGCAGAAUCAAGACAUUCCAAGCACAAGCUACGGCCAUCUCCUAGGCAGAUAUAUCUUCUGCUUCUUGACUUCAAUAUGAAGUAAAAGAGGGAAACUAAGAAAUUAUCAAAGAAGGAUGUUCUAGAUAACAUGAGCAAUUAUUUUUUUCUCAGUAACCAUUUCAUACUUGAAACUAGACACCGAAGUUCCUCCAAUAAAACAAACACCACACAUACCUCCAUUCUCUCACAACUACAGCAUCGAGGUGUGCGAUCAUGUUCAUGUGAUGGACAAUAUUUUUGGCCCCAAAAGGGGUGAGCUCUAUACUCAAUUAAACCAGCCCUGUUUGUUGGGAUCUGUUGGCAAAAGAAAAUGAAGAAAAAUAUUUUAUUUACCAAUAUAACGGCAUGUUUCAUCUAAAUAAACUUUUGUUAGAAAAGUUAUGAAAUCCAUUAUGAAAGAAAAAAAGAAAAAGAAAGAGUGUUUGAAAUGCAAAGUAAUGAGAUAUUAGGCUUUCAGCUAAUGAAAAAAGUUUCAAUGGUUCUACAUGGAAUAUACUACACCACAGGACACUUGAUCAUUUUUAUCUUUUUAAAGAACAUAUGUUGGAGAUUUAGAGCAUUCAAUUUGGUGAAUUUCUAAUUGACAAUAUCAAUGGUUGUUGUUACACAAACCAAAUAUUUACAAAUUACAAAACUUACUAUUUGGUGAAUUGCAAAGAUUUCUAAUUCAUAUGGGUUCAUAUCAAGAAAUAUAUCAAAAUAAAAUGCCAAUACAAGAAGCAGAAAACCUUUUAGAAUUUCAAUUUUAUGCUAUGGUGCAGACUUAAUGCUGAAAGGAUUCUGAGCAAGGUACCAAAUCCAAGGACCGCAGUGGUAGUGAGAUAACAAUAUACCAUAUUGACAAGGAAUGAAAUCCAGUCAAGUUGGGGCAAGUGGAAGUCCCUAAAAGAUUUUCUGAAUGAUAAUAGAGGCCAAACAGAGUAAUAUAUAUACCACAAAGUACCAAUACUUAAAAACAAGAAAACCAGGAUAGCGUGAACUUCUACAUAAAAAAUAAUUCUACAUUGUUCUGAUGACACAGUUUCUUGUAAACAUUUACAUGAUAGUAGAUGAAAAUUGGUCAAAAAAAAAAAUUCAAGGAAUAAGUUCUUACAAAUUCAUGGCAGACAUCACAUUUGGGGUGAUGCAACUCCUUAUAACAUGACUUGUGGUAUGGAUCAAUGCCUGACAAAGUAAACUAAAACAACCACCACAUUUAAGAGCCACUUCACAGUAAAAGCUGCUCUGAAAAGACAGAUGCUAAUGUAUUAUGCAUUAAAGAAGUGAAGCAAAAUAUUUCUUUAAAAAGGAAUUAACACACCUCACUCUCAUAGAUAAUCUGACCACAAGCAUGACAACGAAAACAUUGUGGGUGCCAAAAGGUUCCCAUGCAGCUUAAAUAAUGUCCAUAACCUAUUUCAUGGUGACAUCCUCCACAAAUUCUGCAGGGUAGUAGAAGGCACAAGCAUGAUUAUUUGGUGAUCUGCUAUAGCCUGAAAGCAUAUAAACUGAGAAGAAUAACAUAUCAAACCUAUAUCCUCUGGGCAAAACCUGUACAGGGUAAUAUGGUUGAGAGGAGGACAUGCUCAAACUUUCUUGGAUAGCCCUAGCUAACUCGUCGUCAUCAUUUCCCCGGCCCUUGUAGCCAGCAGCUAUCCAGGAGUUGAUACACCACUCAGAAAUAAUUAGCAGUUUAACCAAACACUUCAGACAUAAAAGGAAAACUAAGAUAAAAAAUUUUAUUUGAAACCAACUGUGAAAAAACAAAUUUGGUGGAAUCAAAUAUUAGAAGCUCACAUAAUUAAACCUACCAUUAGGUCUCUUGGCAUCCUCAUCAAGAGAAAGUGCAAUUGCACGAUCAAGAUCUUCAUUUUCAACUUUAGAUCGGUCAUCCUGGUAACAGCUUGCAUAAAAAAAUUUCACACAAUCAUAUGAAGGAAGAUGAAAUUGACAUAUUAAACAUAUCCCUAGUAUAAAUUUCAGGUAAAUUUCGGAAAAACCAACUUAUGUGUAUCAAUGUCUACUAAAGAUAGAACCUUCCUGAGACAUUUAACAUGCAGUCUUGAUUGUUGAAUCAGAGAGGAAUCUUUACCACUGGUUUAAUUGGUCCAUGAAACAAGUUUUCUUCCCCAUUUACUUGUGGAUGAUGUCCAUUUGACACUCCGGUACCUGUCCCUUUAAAAACCUUGCAGAGCCAUCUCAUAAAGCGAGACCUUCUCCUAGUAUAUGGAGCUAUAUUUCCUGGUCAGAUAAUGAGAUUUGAUAAAAUACUAUAAGAUUGCUAUCAAACAUGAGGUUCAAUGAUAAAUAUAUCGAUCAUGCCAUUUUAUUUCUUAACAAAAAGAAGCGAUGACAGAAAUUGUAUCAUAUUCAGAUUGUAUUCUGAACAUGUGAAGCUUUGACCUAAAUCAAAGAUCAAAUAUCUCAAAGAACAUGGCAUAAGAAGAAGAAUUGUGCAGAGUAUCAGAUCCUCCAUCAAUAUUUUUCUUAAUAGUUAAAAAAUGAAAUCAGCUAGAUUACAAUUUUCAAGAAUUCUAAAUGCUGAUUCUUCUGGUUAAUUUACAUGACAGCAAGAUUGUCUCUGCUUGAGGAAAUGCUCUCAGAUAGACUUGAGCCUCCUGAAACGGAACAUGUCAUACAACUUUUUUAUAUUUCCAAUGUAUUUAUUCUUAUUUACCUGCUAAAAAGUGUCACUAGCAUACUGUCAGUUGUACUUAUUUGUAGGCUAACACAGUAUUAUGAAAUUUUAAAAUACAGCAGAGUAUGUUUCCACUCCAAUGUAAUUAUUGAUCUACUUGUAAUAAUAAGAGAAAAUUGUUUAUAUAAAACUGUCAGAACUGGUUUUUUACAUGAGGCCGAGAUAAGUGAUACCAUCACGCAUCCUAAUUCUGCCAUUUCUCCUGAUGAAAACUAGUCAAAUCGAAAACCAUCGUGCCGGGAUUGGGCAGAUGCAUUGGGGUCAAAGGUCGAAAUUCCCAUCCUUGAUGGUAAACUUUUGUUUUUUUGCUAUGCAAUAUUGUCAACAUGUUCUUCAUAUCCACGUCAAAAAUGCUUGAGCCCUUUUUUGCCAUUGAUGGGUAAACUCUUUUAUCUAUUACAUCUUCUUUCUCGAGCAACAAAUAGAUCAAAUUAGAAGCAGAUUCCGGAAUGGACAUCCGAACCUGAGCACACCAGCAAAUUCUAGUGACAGCGACAACGAAUUGAUGCUCAUGCGAAUUCUCGUAAGAGGAGUAACGAAUUAAUACUCAUGCACCGAUUCUCAAAAGGUACCGGGCAUCACCUCAACAGUUUUUCCAACUAGAUGAAAGAUUCUCUUUAAUCGGUAUCGAAAGAAGACAACCGCAAGGAUUUGUCAUUUCAAAGACAAGACCUACUCUCUAUGAUCGAAAAGCAGAACCAAAGUGCGCUUUUUCGAUCUCGUUUCUUAACAAAAACCAAGAAACCAGCCACUAAAUCAAGAAACGAAAAAUAAGGGGAAACAAACAGAGGGUUGUGGGAGUACCGUGGACGCGAGGCUGGAAGAGGUAACCGGAGUUGGAAGAAGCCAUUGGAGCGAUGAUCGCAGCAAGAGAGGCGAGGAUGGAGAAGGGAGGAGGAGGAGGGUGGUAGCCCAACGAUGAGGCAUCUCAAAAUGCUUCCGCGGUUGUAUAUGUAUAUAUAUAUGUGUAGGUACAUGUGGAUUAUUAUAAGGACGGUGGGAGGAAUCGGAGCGGAGGGAGGGAAGGAACGGGAGAUUCUUUUGGAUGGGGUGGGAAUACGUAGCGAGCGGAAACAAGAGGAGGCGCGGAAGCAGGGGAGAACGCGGAGAGAGAGAGAGAGAGAGCACACGCACGCAUUGCUCCCUUUCGCUUUAGGUGGGAAUCGUUUUUAAAGGCGUAAAGUGUGGGUGGGUCGGCGCGUUCGAAUCGGGCCAUGUUACUUUUGCGGGGUCCACUUAACUGACGUUACUUUGGGUCGGACAUGGAAUCAAUGAGCGCCACGUGGAUUGGUCGAACAAUCGUGAUGACCUCAGCCUUGGCCCCACUUCUAUUUUGACCCUCCUAUUUGGACCGCCUGUGGUCGAACAUGGCGUUACUUUUCCUGGUGGGUGGCUUGGCCGAGACACGGGACCUGCGUCAGCCUGUGGAGCGCAGUGACACGUGGUGGAGCAUUUAUUACCUCUGCAAACCCCCUCGUAGACUUGAAGGGGCGUCGUUGAGGUGAGCGGCGGCGAUCGUCAGGGUGGUCGCGUUCAUCGCCUCCUCUGUCUUGAUAAGAUCGCCAGGUGUUUGCGUCGUGUGACGUCGCGAUCACGAUGCCCUCAUCGCCGCACCAACUCCUCGCCCGAAAGCGCCUCACCAGUUUUUAAAUCCGAAUAGUAGCGGAGGGUGGAACAGAGCAGAAAGCAGUGCAGAGAUGUGGGGUGCAAUGUUGUUGUUGUCAGCGUGGUUCUCACUGUGGCGGUCGUCUUCUUCCCCACCACCACAACCUUCUCCGAUCCGGAGCUCCGUUCUUUGCUACUAACGAAAGGUAAGUAGAUGGCCCCAACGACACCUCGUGAGCUGCAAUGAAGGAUACAAGAUAUCGCCGCUCAGUUCCCUACUCUACUUGGUUUCGGGAUGCAUCAGGUUAUGAAGGAGAAGAGACAAGCAGGCACCGGAGGAAAUGACCGUGCUGCGACCGGUGCGGCCGGUGCACCAACUCCGUCCCGCCGCAGUGCCAAUGCCAGGACCUGGUGGGGUCGUGCCACCCGUCUUGCCGGAGCUGCGUGCGCUCCCCGCUCAGCGUGGAGCCGGCCAUGUACCAGUGCAUGGACCGAAUCCCGGACUACUGCCGGCGUCGGUGCAACCCCGAGCCACUCCUCGACCAGUAACCAAGCCGUUAGUUUGCUGCUCGUUUUGUUUCAGAUUUCCGCAGUCAUUUUACUUCUCACCUGUCAUCUGGCUUUUCCCGGAAGGGAAGAAGGAACUGCUUGUCUCUUAUGUUGACACCUCGCAGAGAAUUUGCCAAGGCAGCUUCCCUUUGUCUCUUCAGUUGUUCUUUCUUCUUGGUAGAAGAAGAUAGAUGUCAUCGCACAAAACAUGAAGAUUAGGCAACUCCCUCAGAAACCAGAUCAUAUCACACCAUUCAUGAAUCACAGAAAUCACUGGAUAUCAUCCAGUCUCUUUAAGCCGAUUCAAUACUGAUAUGGCAUAUUUCAGCACCGCACCAUCCACGUGGCAGUGGACAUCUCAUAUCCGAACGGGAUCACUUGCUCUUGGACUGUUCGGCGCCAUACAAGUUGGCGGCGCCACCGUUCCGAACAACUUGGAACCACGCCAGUACGGGUCCAUACAAGUCGACUCUGCAUAUCGCAGAACCGUUCCGGAAAGUGAGUCACACCGGGUCUUUAUAGAUCGGUCGGCACUCGCCCGCAAGAUACAAGUCAGUUGCUCGAGGAUUAUUUACGAUCGAUCCUCGUUCGUAUAUAUAAAAGUCAACCCUUUCAUCAACAUCGAUGAGAACUUGGAGCGCUCAAUUCAUUCUUACUCCACUCGAUCAAUUCAUUCUUACUCCACUCGACACUAACUUAAAUGUAGGAGGGGACGAGUCAAAACAAGUAACCCGCCAAGGAUCAGUCUCAAAGACGAGGCUCGAACCCAAUUUGACCCGGACUUUCACUAUCAAGCAUACGACCCGAACUUUCACUAUCCAAGCAUUCAUUAGUAAUUUUGUACAUUUCGGAUUGAAUUGAAUCGUGCUAACACCGACAAUCUAAAGUUUUUCAACAUAUAUCAUUUAAGAGAAUUAUUGACCAGCAACAUAUAAUAUCUAAAUUGUAAGUGCAUAAUUAUCUCGAAAGAAAGAAAGAAGAGGAGAAUUAGAUUUAUUAUCUUCCCUUUUUCUUAUAUUUUAACUACUUUAAAUGAUUGAAUUAGAAUAAUAAUUAACAUUAAAAUAUGAACUAAGAAAAAAAAAUCUAUAAUCUUUCAACAUAUAAUAUAAUAUCAUAUUAUGUUAAGAGCUUCGAGUAGGCUCGUCGACGGCUGCUCCCACCUCGAUGGCCCGCCAACCGUUCGACAGAAUGCAGGAGAGGACCAUCUUCUCGUGGAACGCCCUCUCGAAGACCAUCUUCUUGAGGUAAAGAGAUUGUUCCAAUCGAUGCCCCGGGAACUAUAAUUGCAUGUCAACUAACGUGGGGUGUUCUCCUAGAAGCAAGCUGAAUCCACUGCAAAUGUCGAGCUUGCUAAGGAGAGAGCAUGCGUCCGUCCCCGUGAGCUUCAGUCAGUGAAUGCAGGGACACCCAAGAUGUGGGAAUAGGUGACUGGAGCGAACAAGCUUUCGGAAUCCAGGGGACUGCCGAAGGUGCCUGGCUGCCGCUGAAUCUUGCUGGGGCACAGCGAGAAAUUGGUCAUGCUUAAAGAACUUUCAAGGCACCGGGAGGAUGGUGUCGAAUGCUCGUCAAUGAUGAACGGGACUUAAGAGGCAGUUGACUAAUAACUGAUAGCAGCUAAGGUUUUCUUUUCCUAGCUAUAGAGGGAAAUCUUUGGUAAAUUGGGAGUAUAUAUCAAACAUAAAAAUAUUUUCUUCGUGUUUUAUUCUUUCAUGGUAUCAAAGCCUCUCUUGUUUUAGCAAGAUUUCUUCGGAACGAUUACUUUGAUCUUCUCGACGAUAGCAAAUCUCUACUAUUGCAUAGUGUACUCCCAUCUUCCCUACGAGAAAUGCACGUUGCUCGAUGCACCCUUCUUCCCUCGACCCUUCGUGAUAGCAGCUAAGAUUUUUCUAACUAUACGAGGAAAUAUAUUAUUCAUGUUUCAUUCUUUUAAUAACAAGAUCAAGCAUUGAUUCAGUAAAGAGCAUCAAGAAUCCAACAGGGGGGUGUCUUCAUCCAGAGAAAUCUUUUGAUGGUAAGAAUUGGAGCCGAACAAAUAGAUAAGGCAUAUUAAUUGACUGUCGCAAAGCAAAUAAUUUGGUGACAGACAACACUAAGGAAGCUGAACAAGAGUUUCUUAGUUUGAUGAGAGCAAUUAAGGAGCCUUGUGGUAUCAUAUAGAAAAGUGCAAUGUAUGGAAGAAUAAUCAAGUAUUUUCUUUCGAAGAGAGAAGUGAUGUUCUGGAGACGAGUCUGCAGAUUCAAUUGAUAUGAUGUCAUCAAAUCAUAAUGUCAAUUAUUUCCUUGUAAAGAUUCAAAAUUUUGGUAUUGAGACUUUGCAGAAUAUUCUGCUUCCAGUCAAAGAAAGAAAUGGAGUAAAUGUUUAUCAGUAUGCACAAAAGCAUGAAACAUUCAUAUACCAAAAUGAGCAUGAUUAUCAUAUAAUUACUGCAUAAAAUUAAUAUUCCUGCCAUAUCCAAACUUUGCAUAUCUUACAUAUAAUUCAAUGUAUCAGAGUAAAUAUUUUCCAUCCUACUUGUCAUUAUUGCUAGGAACCUCAUAAAUAUUCAUGCUCAUCUCAUCUACCCAAGCGUUCUACAAUCCAUCAGCAGACAUGAAAACCAUGAGUGCAGCUUUGGCCCUUCUCUUUCUUGCAAUCCUUCUGCCUCUUCACCACUGUAAGCAACUCUGACACUUGUGUUUGAUGAGUUCUUAUAAUAUAUUGGUUUUUGUAAUAGACAUUUUGUAUUUAGAUAUUCUGCUUUGAUUUUUCAUCCCAUAAAAGUUAGGUUAAUAUAUUUUGGCUAAAAGGAGUGUGAAGAUUUGUGACAGCUUUUUUAAGGUAAACAAACAUAUGGUGACAGUCAGUGGCUGUAGUUUUUUUUCGGUGUCACGAUAAGAUUGUGUAUAUUAGGGAGAUAUUGCCUCAGUGAGGGUUUCAUUCACUAUAUUCUGACAUAUUUGUCGUUGUUUCUUUUAGGCCGCGACAUAAACACAAUGGAUGAGAAGGUAACAAAGACAAGCCCUGAGAGUACUGAAGGUGGAAUUGAAGUUGCACCACCUUGCUACACUAAUAGCUGCUCAUAUGGAACUUGCACUUGUUGUUCAUCAAGUGAAGAGUGCUAUCCUGCCAGAUCGGAGUGCUUGAAACAUUGUCCCAUUGGCAAAUGAACCAAUUUGAUGUCCCAAAGGUUCAUUUAAAGUAGAUGAAUAAGAGCUUUUGUCAGCUAUUAGAAAGCUGAUGAAGUGCAUUUUUCAGAUGCAUUGCAUGUUGUUACAGUUCUGCAAUGGUCAAUGAAAGAUGGAAUUCAAUUGGCUCCUCCAUGACUCUUUUUCUUCAUGACAUCCUCCAUAAAUAACUCCAUCAUGGCAUUCACAGCUACUGUGAAUGCAGUCAUGAAUGCAAUGCUGUGAGUGAUAGUUCUAGUGAAUUUAAUAUGAGAGAUUGAGAGGUUUGUAGGAUAUAAUUUGGAAUCAUUGAUUGUCAUUUCAUAUGGUUUGUAGGACUUUGCAUUGACAAGCAGGACCUCACCAAGGACAGGAACUCCUCCAGUCCCUAACCUGAACACAGACUGGAGUUGGGACUCUCUCAACCUGAAACAGCAGGGACAAGCAGAAACCAUCUUCUUCUCAACAUUUAUCUUUGCCUGUGAGGACAGUGGAGGACCAAAGCAUGCUUUGUCUAUCUGUACUGAGAACAGAAGAAAAGGCCCUUUCAACUAAUGUCUCCCAUCUAUCAGGUUGAAUUUGAUAUGAGAUUUCAGUAAGCUCAAUCAUUGGCAGUAAGAUUUUGGGAUGCAUAAUAGUAGGAUCUUCUUCAAACUAGUGCAGAAUCUUAACUCAAACCUUCCACAAAUUUCUUUAUCAGGUGAGGCAACUUUCAACAAAAUUAACUUGGUUUCAUUGUCCGAAUCGGUGUUCAUCAGUCUGGAGUUUGGUUGAGGAUCAUAAUGAAAGAUUAUUUGGGCAUAAUAGAUGACAAGGACAUCAUGAUUGGUCAAUAAUAUUCACAAAACAAUUCAGUUGAAAAUGAUUGCUAUUGUCCCAGUCACAAUGAUGAACAAAGCCAAUUCAAUCAGUGGCUUCAUGGAAGAAUCAACCGAACAAAAUAUUCAGGUGACAUGAAAUUUUUGUACUAAAUUGUUAGAGAAGUUAGCAUUUUUGAUGGAAUUCAGCAAGAAAUGGAACACUGGAAGACAAAGAAAACUUGAUUGAUGCAUGUGAGUAAACAGGUCUCUCAUGCUGCUGCAAAUCUAGUUCUGAACUUUCUGAGAUUAGGUCGGCUGCUCGUCGCUAUCAUUAUACCCUGAGAUGGUGUCUUUCAAGAGCUAACAAGAUGUGGUCUUCACUAACAAAGCCAAAAACAAUCAGACUCUUGACAAUUAAUCAUCCACAUUGCUUUCAAACUCAAUAAAUCGGAUUGGGAUAUAAAUCUAGCUACCACUACAAACAUGUGAAUGUUCAAAGGAAUCUUGAGAUGCUUUGAGUAGAUUUGCAGAACAAGUCACAGGGAGCUUCAAGAACUAAUACUUCUGUUCAUGAUCUAAGAAACACAGUUCCUGAGUCCAUUAUUUAAAGCCUUCCCACAUGAUUGAUACAUGACACAUUGUCUGAAGCUAUAUACUUGAUUUUGUUUUAUGAGAUCAUGGGCCACAUUAAGACAAGUAUAUACAAUACAAAAAUCACUAGUUGCUGAGGAUGAUCCACCAGACAUUGAGCAAACACAGUUGAAAUCAGUUCUGAGGAGAAACUUACUGCAUCAACACUUGUUGCAUGCAGAGAGUGACAUUUUUUAUGACAGAUACCUUCCCAAGCCCUCUUUCCCACAUGAUAAGAUCUGUUUCACCAUAUGACUCAAAUUAAACAUUUCCAAAAAUGAACAUUUUUCAUUGGAAAAGAAAACAUUAAAAAAAAACCCAAAAGACAGUACAACAGGUAAAAUGGAAACUGCAAACAUAUUUGGUAAUGUAAGAUAUACAUGUGAUCUACCAAAGCAUCAAAUUCUUUGGACUGUUCUUGAUACUAAAACUCAAAUUUAAUUAUGCAUCUUAUAUCAUCAUAGUUGUGUGGGCCAUUGCGCAUCGAUCCGUUGCAUCAUACAAAUCGAUACUGUCACCUAACAUUCAUGCUGAAGAAUAUCUGUGCAUAGGAACAUAAAUUAUCAGGUAAAAAGAUUAAGUAUAAAUACAUACAUGUCACUUUCUCUUUAGUAGCUUCUUUGUUGAAGUCGGUCGGUCGAAGAAUGAAUUCAUGUCGUAGUAGGAAAGGGAUUCUGAUACAAGUAGUGAUCCUAACUUCACAGGUUAUCGAUUAACUCCCCAGUCCCAGAUUCAAUACUGCUGUCUGAGUUGUUGGCAAGCUUGUGAAGGCUUUCCACAUGUCGAAGACCUGUCGUUGUGCAGGAAGAAGGAGAUGAAUUUGCCAAAGAAUGCCUGACAUGGAAUAUAGAAUGUCGAGUUGAUUCAGUGGUGACAGAUGAGAUUAGGCUGCUGAUGAAGUGUGAGAAGGCCAUUAAAAAUGCUUGUUGUCAGGAGUAGCCCCCACUGUUUGGAAGCUGUCUCAGUUCUCAUCAGAGAAGUGAUGCUUUCUAAUGCAUGUUAGGUCAAAUUAUAGGUUUCUUUAUGAUUCACGUUUACUCGACUCUAUCCACCUCUAUCAGGGAAUUGAACCUCGAACUACGGUGAUGGGAACAAACAAGCUGACUUGGAAUACCAACUAGAGAUGAAGAUUACCGGAUAGAUUCUCAUGCACCUCGAUUUCUCUGUCCCCAACUUGGACGCAGAUGCUUUGCUCCAACUAUAUUCCUUCCUCUCUCAGCUCUUCAGUGGAAACACCCGACAAGAAGCUCAGUCAGUGACUUGCUAAAGUCUUUGUUCGUCCAGGAACAAGCGCCAUGGAGCAAGCAAGAUGCUGGAUGUGGACAAGAACAAGACACAGUGGCAGGCCUCACCUCAGCGCUCAGAUCCCCGGAGUCGUCCUUGGAUCCUCCAGCAACGAGUCAUGGGAGGAGAGAGCCUUCGCGGAAGACGCCGCAGGCCGCUUAGGAGGCUGCACAUGGCCGCCGAGGUCGUACUCGUGCAGCUUUUGCAGACGGGAAUUCCGAUCGGCGCAGGCACUUGGUGGGCACAUGAACGUGCACCGGAGGGAUCGAGCGAGGCUGAAGCAGUUGUCUUCGAGCCUCGGCGAAGAGACCGCCGAAGCCGAAGAUGAACAAGUGACGGGUGCAGAACUCCGUCCUCAGGUCAGCCCUAACCCUAGUUCCAGGUUCUUGCCACCACCUCUCUCUCCUAGGGUUUCUGCUCCAUCCAUCCAAGAGAACUGGCCCGACAACACCUUGAUCUCUCCACCAUUUUCUUCGUCUAUCGCUCGAGAGGACCCCAAUGAAUCGCUGUUCUCCACGACUAGAUCUCUGCACCAUCCUACACUUCUCCAUCUACUUAUUGUACCAGAAUCCAAGCUCGGGGAAACCAAUUUAGGGUCCAACGGAUUUGGUUUUCGGAGUCGGAGAGAUCCAGGAAUCUAUGAUGAGCAGACCAGCUGUUACAAGAGAAGUAGAACCGAGAGACCCUCUUCUUGUGAGCAGCAACAAGUGCAGUCUGAGGUACCUGAUCACAACCAUCUGGAAGAGUUAGAUCUUGAGCUGAGGCUUGGAAGCAUCCCAAAGAUGUAGUAUUUCUGAUUGAAUCAGUAUGUUCUAAGUAGUAAUUUUUCUUUUCCCAAUUUCUUCACCUUUAGUCUCAUCUUUCUUCUGAAAAAUGCCUGUUUCAUCUUCGAUUUAUGGAUAGAAACUCAGAUUUGGAGCUUCCUUUUCACCAUAGACUGUAACCACAAAGCAUUGAUGUAGAUCAAGAAAUUAGAAUAGAAUAUGAACUAAGGUUUUCUUGCAUUAGCACAAGGAUUUCCUACCACAAAAGGAGUUCAAGUAAACCCUUUUAAUGGAAAAUAUCUUACAAUAGCAUCGGUAGAUCAUGGACUGCAACCUGCACAAGCGUGAUGUGAAUGAUAAACGUGAUAGUUUAUUAGUAGUGUUAGGAUUUUCUUCUUGUAAGAUAAGCAUGCAGACGCAAGCAAUAUCAUCAACAGACUAUACCUGCGGUGAUGUUUCUUUCACCAACUGAGUUUUCUCCCCGGAGGAAUCAUAUUGUUCGGUCAGUUCAUAACAUAAACAUCUCAUGUCCUUAUUUGAAUUCAUGCAAUACUCUCUUAUGUGAACUCUCUCUGUAGCAUAGAAUUAUGCAUUUAUAUUCAUUGACUUGUAAUCCCAGAGUAAAUGGCUUGAGAAUUGUCUACAUCAAAGAUUUCUCGUGUGUAUAUUUGCUAGUGUGUGAGGUGGAAUGAGGAGAAGAAGCUGAAAAGAGAUGGAAUUUAGAGUGCAUGGGAUGUAGUGAUUUGUUUCAUAGUUCCAUUUUUUUCCAGCCUGGUAUAAAUAAACUCACUGACUGACACAUUCCAGCAAUAGAACUAAAACACUCAAAUCUGAGUCUGCUUUAGAAUGUAUGUAUAUGCUCAAACGCAUCUAACACCCGGAUUCCCUUUUUCUGAGGCAUUCCAGCGCAUGAGUCAGAUGUCUCUUCUUCAUAAAUCUACAUGUUUGCUUCUGCAUUUUUUGCCUUCCCCAUGGCUCCAUAUCCGAGAACACCAUGGCACAACAUCAAUAUAGCAUUAGCCAUUUGGCCCAUUUAUGUAUGAUGUCCAAGCAAAUAACCUCGGCUGCUUUCCACCCUGCUACUUUCUUCCUUCUUCCUGCUUUCCACCCUACACAUCUGCUGCCCUUAACUAAAGUCCUAAUCACAGUCAUAGAACUCAUCUUUCCAAAAUUAGCUUGGACAGGGAUCGUAUCAACUUUGACCUAAAAGCCUGGAGAGGACAUUAUGAUAGGCAAUCAGAAGCGUUUAAGGAGGUACCCAUCGGAAACUCUCCCCGAGAGCAUUCGGGAUUGGGAGAAUGGCCUCAAGAUGGGGGCUUUGGGAAGAGAGUUGUAAAGGUGGGAGUUGCCCUACUGGUGUAAGAGGUGUGUGAUAUAUAGGAAGAGGAAAAGCAUUAAAGUGUGGCACUUUUAGCUCUCCAAGUUACUGAAUCCGUGUAAAGAAGUCAUUGAAGAGGGACUGACUUGGCCUUGUCCUUCCUCGAGUGCUAUCUCUGCGGCAAGUGUGUUCAGAGGUGAACAGCUAGUUGAGUAGGGAAGUACAGAAAGAGAGAGGCUGUUUGAUUCUGACCAAAGUGUUGGAAUACAGUGAUGAAGCUGCACAUGGUGGGAAGGUGUCGUUUGUGGGGGAGGAGGGUUUUUAUAUGGUUCAGAAAAGGAAUGAGGACUGAUGUGGGUGUGUGAAGAGAGUCCCCUUUUUUUUGGGUCAAUAAUGCAUGUACUGCAAAAUGUUUGAUAAAAGCCCCAAAGAGAAUAUGGAAUCCAUUGUACUGAUCAAACUAUUAUUAAUUCAGAAAUGUUCUACCAACAUGCAGUUGUGGCAUUAAAUCUUACACUUCAGGGUAUGUAUGUGGUAGAUUCUCUCCCUUCCUCUCUUGGAAUAUAUUGUAGUUUGUGACUAUUUUGACUCUCAUGCAAAAUAGGGCAUGUGCAGUGCAGUGCAUGCACGUACAAGCAGUCAUAGAAUAUAAGCUUUCUUUCUUUCUAGACAUCAAACUUGCAGCAAUAGUAAGUGCAACUAUUAUAUCUAUUCUAUUCUCUUUGUAAUUCCCUAUCACAAGAUCAGUUCCUUCCAUCUACUGAUUGCCGAGUCAGAUAAAAAGGAAAUGUGAAGAACAUUUACCUCAUAAUCCAUGAUGUAGCUGCUGAUAGGGGAGAGAGAGAGAGAGUCUUGUUUUCGGACGUCAACGAGAGAUGCCAGGUUUCAUAACACCAAGUGCAGCUUCAGAUUGGAAGUCCAUCGAGAGGAUCCAAGCCUGGCAUGUCUGAGACACGAAAGGUUUCCAUCAUUGCACUUACGUUGUCUAAAAGCAUUAUUUAUCAUGAACAAACCCAAAAGUAUAUAUAUGUCAUAAAUAUUCUUUUCAGAAUAAAUGUAAAGGAACCUAAGAAAAAAAUUCCAUGCAUAAGAUCAGAGCAUAUAGAGUUCAUUCUUAGCUAGAAUAUCUGACCUUUACCAGGUGCUCAGAACAUAAACAAAACUAGAAUAAGAAUAAUAAUAAAAAUUAUUUCUGAAGCACUGAUGGAUAUAUAUAUAUAUAUAUAUAUAUAUAUAUAUAUAUAUAUAUAUAUAUAUAUAUAUAUAUAUAUAUUACCUAAAAGUUACACAACUAUCGUUUAAUUCCAAAAAAAGAAAAAGAAAAAGGUCACUUGCUUAUGCAAUGAUCUUGAAGACCAAAUAAUGGAGCUUUACUCUGCAACAAGCUCAGGAUCAUUAGGAGAGGGAACUGAGUCCAGCUUGCAAAAUAUAGUAGUACCCAAUUAGAGAUGAACCAUUCAUAUCAAAGCUCAAUGAUCUCUCUAAAAUGCAUGAUAUGCUUUCAAGCAGCCUAAACAUCGAACCGAGAUUUACAGAUAGACAAAUGCAUGAGAUAUCUACCAAUUGCAGAGUCUAGCAAGAAUCAAUGUGUGAAAUGUUAUUGCUUAUGUGUUUAGAAGUAAAUAAUAUACAAAUUCCUUAAGAAAAUGGAUCCUAGCAAUUCGAGAGUAGAAAAUACAUCAAUAUCCGAAUCUCUACCUGCUGUGAGGGCCCAAGAAAGAUGUGUUUACUGCCUAUCAGAUGGGCCCAAAGAAAUGCAUCAUCAUCUUUUCUCUUCUUUUUUUAUUUUUGUUUUAAUUCAAAAGUAAGACAAGUAUAUUACUUAGUUAAAUGAGUACAAGAAGUCUCUUAUUCAUCCAAAUACAACAUAUGAACAAAAUUUAGCUCUAUAUUCAUGUGUGUUCAAAUUUAACUUCCAUAAAGAACUCUAAAUAUCUAAAAACAUCACUAAUAAUAUUUGGAUUCGACAAGAGAAUGUGUGUUCAAGUCCGGUUUACGAUAUUCAAAUAUCUAGAUAAUUAAAUAUCUAAAAUAAAAACCACCAAUACCAUUAUCCUUUUCAGUAUUAUCUAAUAGUUAUACAAAAACAAAAAAUAUUUAAAUUUGAUAAAAAUAUUUUUCUUCCAGAAUAUCGAAUAAUUAUAUAAUCCAAGAAAAACACCCGAGUCACCCAAAAACACGGAGACUGAUGUCAUCAUACACGGAGGAUUUGGACUCUUACAGUGUGUGAUAUGCUCUCCUUCGGCUCCCGCCGUCCACACCUUGCGGCCCACAGACGCAAAACAACAAAUGGUUAACGGGCAGACGGCAGAAGCAACAAGCGUCGGCGAGUACACCACCACCGUAGGUGGCCGGACAAGCGUCUAAAACCAAGGCAGAAACUUCUUCUCCCGAACACUGAAACUUCGAAAAAGGGUCUGCUCCGUUGACCACGGUCGAAGAGGUUAAACCAUUUCGAGUGUGGACGCAGACAAAAAGGGUUUGGUCAUGCGAGGCCAAAAGCAGCGACCGUGGACUUGACGACACGCUCUCUCAUGCCUACGACGUUUACCUAACUAAUGAUUGCGUUUAAAUUCUUGCACAAACUUCGAUUGGCAUUAGUAAUAAUUGAUGAGAUUUACAUAUUUUGGAUCAUGUGAUUUAGGUUCAAUAAAUUAAUGUGUCAGAUAUCAUAAUUAUGAUAAUUUUAAGUUUAUGUUAUUGUUUAACCACUAAGAUAUCUUAUUAGAGACGCAUUAAUUAUAUAUUAUUUUCAAAAAUUAUAUUGGAUCUUUAUAUUUUGGAAAGUAAAUCAAAAUUCUACUGACGAGUUAGUGGUAAAUGAUAUGAUUUUUUCGUCAGAAAAAUUAAUAAUAUAACGAAAAAUAAAAUUAAAUAUUUUUAAUUUUAUAAAUAUAAGAAUUUUAAUGUAACUUUUAAAAAUAUAAAAAUCAAAAUACUAUAGAUAACAACUAAUUAUAAGAAAUAAUCUAUAAUUAAUCUAUUAACUUGCUGGAGACCAUGAAUUCGUUAAUAUUUGUUAUCAUUUUUAGUAAAAUUGAACGAAAUAAUCUUAUAUCGCAUUUUUUAUACCGACAAAAAUAUUUUCUUGGAGACCAACAAGCUUUGCUUUGAGAUCGAUGUCAUUCGUCGAGGAGGACUCGAAUCAUGAGUCUCUUUUGGGGUUGCUCAGUGUGUACGGAAAUUGUUUCCAUAUAUCCGAGAAAUUAGCCAGAAACUGACCUGCAAAAGCCACGUCGCUUGACAAAACAAUGUUCGCCUUCGGCCACACCUUGCAUUCCACAGACACAAAACAACAAAUAGUUAACGGGCACACAACGUGUACAGUCCGCGAACACAAAAACAACAGCGGGGUUGGCAAGCAUACCGCUGUUUCUGGCUGAUCCGACGCCGAUCGACACGCGUAGACGAUGCCGACGGCUUACGCACGUUGAAAAUUGAUGGCAGCAACUUCUUCCCGAGCUCACUGGAUUGGACAAAAUGCUAUCACUCAGCUGAAAGCUAACCCCUUGACUGCAUUAGCGAUCACAGAACUGCCUUAACCUUUUCAGCUGUGUGGACGGAGAAAAAAAGCUACGACCAUUGACUGCAAAUCCUCGAGAACGCGGAGUUAACAUUCAUGUUUUCGUGGCUAACGAUCGCAUUCAUACUCUUAUAGCACCAUCCCCUUCGUUAAUCAAGUUUGGGAUUGGGUUCCUCGAUUGCGUGGACUUGGUUCACCGCUGUGGGGCCAUUGGAACUCAGGGAUGGCCCACCUUGAACUCCCCAAGACCGAGCAAACGAUCAGCCAAAUCAAAGAAUGCAUUCUAUUUUCUGCCCGUUUCGAAUAUACCCGAAAAUAUACCUGCCUUAUAAUCGGAGGAAAUGGUAGGGUUUAAUCUUCGACCAACCAUCAGGCGAGUGGCAGGUAUGGGCGAGAUUGUAACAGAGGUGGUGGAUAUGCGGAACACAGCCAGCGUGGCGGUAAACGCAGGGGACGACGACUUCCUCUAUUUCUCUCCCUCCCCACGACCGACGUCACCGAUAUCUUUAAUCCUUCGUGCGUUGCCUUCGCUGCUGUUACGUCUGAAGGCGCGCAACCGCGUGUGCCCACCGAGAAGGCUCUCGGAAAUGGAGGUAGGCAUCCCCUCGUUCCCUCCUCCCCCAUAUAUCCCAGCAAUUCCCACGUAGGAGCCACAAGCGAACCCAAUUCCAAGCUUCAGGGAAGCAGUAAUCCAGGAGUGGAGGAAGAACAGAGCCUGUGUCUUCGUUCCCUUCUCUGUGACGUAAUCUGCUGCUUGCAUGGGCGUUCUUUCGAAGGUGCUCGCCGAUCUCCGGACCCGAGUGGGCAGCAUCGACCGGGAGCGGCCUGUCGUCGGGAUCCUUGCCUUUGAGGCGGCGGCCGCCAUGGCACGCCUCAUCUCCCUAUAUCGCUCCCUCGACGACGACGAGGUCCGCCGGCUUCGCACCGACAUGCGGUCCCAGGGCGUGACCUACCUGACUUCCAAGGACCAGGCCUUCCUCCUCCGUCUCGCCUGCGCCGAGCUGGUCGACGAACUCGACAGGGCUGCUGCUGCGGUCGCCCGAUUCGGCCACAAGUGCUCCGAUCCACUCCUCCGGGGCUUCGAUCGGUUAUACGCUGACCUCAAGGCCGGCGGGAUCUGCUUAUUUCUCCGCGACGGCAGGGCUGCCGACCAGGAGCGCUUCGGGCUCGGCGCGAACGUGAAGAGUGUCGAGAAGUGGAUUAAGAGGAUGGAGAGGUACGUCGCGGCGACCUCGCGGCUGUACGCGGAGAUGCAGAGUCUGAACGAGCUGGAGGCCUCGGAGCGGCGGAUACAGCAGCAGUGGCGGCGGCAUAGUGGGCCGAUCCCGGUGCAGAAGCCGGGUGUAACCCCCGCCACCCACCCCGUCCAGCUCGAUCUCCGGUCGCAGCGCCAAAAGGUUCGGCGGCUCAAGGACGAGUCCCUCUGGAGCAAGACCUACGACAAGGCGGUCGAUCUUAUGUUCCGCGCCUUGAUCACCGUCUUCGCCAGGAUCUGCGUCGUUUUCGGCCCCUGCGUCCUGGGUUUCCCCGUCGGCCGCGACAGAAACCACAGGGUCCUGAUGCUCCAGAGCAACCUAGAUUACCCGGGCAAGUACUCGUCCGGGCCGCUGGAAAGACUGGCGGCGAAGGGUGUAACUUCCCUGAGGAAUUCAGCUCCAAUAUUCAUGAACAAGGGAGCGCUCGACAAGCCGUGCGAGAGCUUGGGUAAAGUACUGGAAGCUGCUCCAAACACCGUCGGGGGAUCUGGACUGGCUCUGCGAUACGCCAGCGUGAUCGUGCUGGCGGAGAAGUUGCUGACGAUAAAGUCAAUCGAGGGACACGGAGCGCAGGAGGAGGAGGAGGAGGCGAAGGAAGAAGCCGCGGCUGUCGCGAGGGAGGAGAUGUACCAGAUGAUGCCGUUGGGGAUGCGGGGGACGGUGAGGGCGAAGCUGGGGGAGUGCUGGAGGCGGGAGGGUGGGACGACGGACGCGUCGCUGGCGGAGGGGUGGAAGGAGGCGAUUAGCGCCAUCCUCGCCUGGCUAGGGCCGGUGGCACACGACACGCUACAGUGGCAGGAGGAGCGCAACAUGGAGCGGCAGCAACGGUUCCACACCAGGCCGCGGGUGCUGAUUCCGCAGACGCUGCACUUCUCCGACAGGGAGAAAACCGAAACCGCCAUCGUCGAGGUUCUCGUCGGGUUGAGCUGCAUGUGCUGGUACGAGGAACGGGGACCCGAGUCUCUCAGGUUCUAAAUCGCCUCCGAGCUGAAGAUUACAGCUAGGAUCAAAGACAACUACUCUCGAUUCGUUUGAUUGCAUUCUUCGGCAACUCUUGUUCUUG
rnacentral:lncRNA from 1 species